UACGUAGGGUGCGAGCGUUGUCCGGAUUUAUUGGGCGUAAAGAGCUCGUAGGCGGCUUGUCGCGUCGGAUGUGAAAGCCCGGGGCUUAACUCCGGGUCUGCAUUCGAUACGGGCAGGCUAGAGUGUGGUAGGGGAGAUCGGAAUUCCUGGUGUAGCGGUGAAAUGCGCAGAUAUCAGGAGGAACACCGGCGGCGAAGGCGGGUCUCUGGGCCAUAACUGACGCUGAGGAGCGAAAGCGUGGGGAGCGAACAGG
rnacentral:rRNA from 1 species